rnacentral:rRNA from 1 species
AGGUAAAACUCCAUGGAGGACCGAACGCACGUUCGUUGCAAUGACCGGCGAUGACCUGUGGAUAGCGGUGAAAUUCCAAUCGAACCCGGAGAUAGCUGGUUCUCCCCGAAAUAGCUUUAGGGCUAGCGUCGAGGUAAGUUGCGUGAAGGUAGAGCACUGAAUAUGUGAUGGCCCCAUCUCGGGGUACUGAGCAUAAUCAAACUGCGAAUGUCACGCCAACAUGCUCGGCAGUCAGACAGCGGGUGAUAAGGUCCGUUGUCAAGAGGGAAACAGCCCAGACCAUCAGCUAAGGUCCCAAAAUGUAUGCUAAGUGGAAAAGGAUGUGGAGAUGUACAGACAACUAGGAGGUUGGCUCAGAAGCAGCCAUCCUUUAAAGAGUGCGUAACAGCUCACUAGUCGAAUGACUCUGCGCCGAUAAUUUACCGGGGCUAAGCAUACUACCGAAGCUAUGGAUCCCAAGGGAUGGUAGGGGAGCGUUCCAUGAACGGAGAAGUACGACCGAAAGGACGUGUGGAGAUCAUGGAAGAGAGAAUGCCGGUGUGAGUAGCGGAACGUGGGUGAGAAUCCCACGCACCGAAAACCCAAGGUUUCCAGAGGAAGGUUCGUCCGCUCUGGGUAAGUCGGGACCUAAGGCGAGGCCGAAAGGCGUAGUCGAUGGACAACAGGUAGAGAUUCCUGUACCCGUAUAUAUGUGAAGGAAUGACGGAGAGAGGAAGCUGCAGCCAGCGGCUGGAAGAGCUGGUGCAAGCGAGAUAUCGGGAUGGCAGGCAAAUCCACCAUCCGAAACGAGAAGGCGUGAAGCGUACGGAAAGCUACGGCGAGUACGGAAGGCAGUGGAGGAACUUCCAAGAAAAGUUUCUAACGUAAAGUAUAUAUGGCCCGUACCGAAAAUGGACACACAUGGGUGAGGAGAGAAUCCUAAGGUGAGCGAGAGAACUAUAGCUAAGGAACUCUGCAAAAUGACUCCGUAACUUAGGGAGAAGGAGUGCUCAUAGAGAUAUGAGCCGCAGUGAAACGGCCCAAGCGACUGUUUACCAAAAACACAGCUCUCUGCUAAGCCGCAAGGCGAAGUAUAGGGGGUGACGCCUGCCCGGUGCUGGAAGGUUAAGGGGAGGGGUUAACGCAAGUGAAGCCCUGAACUGAAGCCCCAGUAAACGGCGGCCGUAACUAUAACGGUCCUAAGGUAGCGAAAUUCCUUGUCAGGUAAGUUCUGACCCGCACGAAAGGCGUAACGAUUUGGGCGCUGUCUCAGCUGUAGACUCGGUGAAGUCUUAGUACCUGUGAAGAUGCAGGUUACCCGCGACUAGACGGAAAGACCCCAUGGAGCUUCACUGCAGGUUGAUAUUGGGAUUUGAUGCAGCAUGUACAGGAUAGGUAGGAGGCAAAGAGAUGGAUACGCCAGUAUUCAAGGAGCCGCUGUUGGGAUACUACCCCUGUUGUAUUGGAUUUCUAACCGGACGACGUAGAGCCGUUGACGGGACAGUGUCAGUCGGGCAGUUUGACUGGGGCGGUCGCCUCCCAAAGAGUAACGGAGGCGCCCAAAGAUACCCUCAGCUUGGAUGGAAACCAAGCGCAGAGUGCAAAGGCAAAAGGGUGUUUGACUGCGAGACCCACAAGUCGAGCAGGGACGAAAGUCGGGCUUAGUGAUCCGGCGGUGCUGAAUGGAAAGGCCGUCGCUCAACGGAUAAAAGCUACCCUGGGGAUAACAGGCUGAUCUCCCCCAAGAGUUCACAUCGACGGGGAGGUUUGGCACCUCGAUGUCGGCUCAUCGCAUCCUGGAGCGGAAGUACGUUCCAAGGGUUGGGCUGUUCGCCCAUUAAAGCGGUACGCGAGCUGGGUUCAGAACGUCGUGAGACAGUUCGGUCCCUAUCUGUCGUGGGCGCAGGAAAUUUGAGAAGAGCUGUCCUCAGUACGAGAGGACCGGGAUGGACGCAUCAAUGGUGGACCAGUUGUCACGCCAGUGGCAUAGCUGGGUAGCUAAAUGCGGAAGGGAUAAACGCUGAAGGCAUCUAAGUGUGAAACCCACUUCAAGAUGAGAUUUCCCAUUGCGCAAGCAAGUAAGACCCCUUAAAGACGAUAAGGUAGAUAGGUCAGGAGUGUAAGCAUGGUGACAUGUUAAGCGGACUGAUACUAAUAGGUCGAGGGCUUGACCGA